AAACAUGUACUGCCAUACUUGACUGCAGAGGGGGGCUCAAUCUGAAGCGCAAGGGCCCGACAACGACCUGGAUUUCAACACGAAAUCUCCUGAUUUUUCAAAACAUAUUUGUUACGUUUUCGUGCAGGCAAGGUCCAGAUGAAUAUCCGGAUAGAGCAGGAAGAACAAGUCCCCUCCGAGGAUCUCAAGCUUGGUCUUCGACGAGUCUUUCAGUAUGAAUGUCCGCAAAACCUUGAGCAGGGUGAUUUUGAUCUCGGCCAUGGCGAAUUUGAUACCCGCGCAAUAUCUUGGACCGGCCCCAAAGCUGAGCGGUCCGACCCUGGUCUUACCUGGACUUCUGGAUGUUUGGCCAGCAUGUGCAAAAGUGUGCCCAUCGUGUUUGAAGUCGUUUCAAACGCUGCCUGGAUGAUACCAAUGCCUUGAGCGUAGAUCUGAUUCUCGUUGAGCUCACCUUUGCACUCCAAGUUCUUCAAUUGGGUCUCAUUCAAUUUGUCGAUGAAGUCUCCACGUGUUUUCUGUCGAUUGUAACCGAUGUUCUAAAAGCGCCAUAAAAAUAUGAAAGAUAUGUGUGCACAUCGCCAAAUCCGGGAUCAUCAUUACCUUGGUAAAAUUGAAGAGGUACUCAAAAUUACUCAUGCCAAUGAAGUCCACAAUCUUCAAGAGUAUAGGGAUCCGCGAGCAAAUAUAAAAGGCAAUGGAUUCGCCAAAGGAUCGCAAUCGAAAGUCGCUGAACAAUCGGCAG